UAGCUAGUUGGUGAGGUAACGGCUUACCAAGGCGACGAUCUGUAGCGGGUCUGAGAGGAUGAUCCGCCACACUGGAACUGAGACACGGUCCAGACUCCUACGGGAGGCAGCAGUGGGGAAUUUUGGACAAUGGGGGCAACCCUGAUCCAGCCAUGCCGCGUGAGUGAAGAAGGCCUUCGGGUUGUAAAGCUCUUUCGGCCGGGAAGAAAUCGCAUGGGCCAAUACCCUGUGUGGAUGACGGUACCGGAAUAAGAAGCACCGGCUAACUACGUGCCAGCAGCCGCGGUAAUACGUAGGGUGCGAGCGUUAAUCGGAAUUACUGGGCGUAAAGCGUGCGCAGGCGGUUUUGUAAGACAGGCGUGAAAUCCCCGGGCUCAACCUGGGAACUGCGUUUGUGACUGCAAGGCUAGAGUACGGCAGAGGGGGGUGGAAUUCCACGUGUAGCAGUGAAAUGCGUAGAGAUGUGGAGGAACACCAAUGGCGAAGGCAGCCCCCUGGGUCGAUACUGACGCUCAUGCACGAAAGCGUGGGUAGCAAACAGGAUUAGAUACCCUGGUAGCCCACGCCCUAAACUAUGUCAACUAGGUGUUGGGUGGGUAAAACCAUUUAGUACCGUAGCUAACGCGUGAAGUUGACCGCCUGGGGAGUACGGCCGCAAGGUUAAAACUCAAAGGAAUUGACGGGGACCCGCACAAGCGGUGGAUGAUGUGGAUUAAUUCGAUGCAACGCGAAAAACCUUACCUACCCUUGACAUGCCAGGAACUUGCCAGAGAUGGCUUGGUGCCCGAAAGGGAGCCUGGACACAGGUGCUGCAUGGCUGUCGUCAGCUCGUGUCGUGAGAUGUUGGGUUAAGUCCCGCAACGAGCGCAACCCUUGUCGUUAAUUGCCAUCAUUUAGUUGGGCACUUUAGCGAGACUGCCGGUGACAAACCGGAGGAAGGUGGGGAUGACGUCAAGUCCUCAUGGCCCUUAUGGGUAGGGCUUCACACGUCAUACAAUGGUCGGUACAAAGGGUCGCCAAGCCGCGAGGUGGAGCCAAUCCCAGAAAGCCGAUCGUAGUCAGGAUUGCAGGCUGCAACUCGCCUGCAUGAAGUCGGAAUCGCUAGUAAUCGUGGAUCAGCAUGUCACGGUGAAUACGUUCCCGGGUCUUGUACACACCGCCCGUCACACCAUGGGAGCGGGUUCCGCCAGAAGUAGGUAGCCUAACCGCAAGGAGGGCGCUUACCACGGCGGGGUUCGUGACUGGGGUGAAGUCGGAACAAGGUAGCCGUAGGGGAACCUGCGGCUG
rnacentral:rRNA from 1 species